AUUGAACGCUGGCGGCAGGCCUAACACAUGCAAGUCGAGCGGACGAAGGGAGCUUGCUCCUGGAUUCAGCUGCGGACGGGCGAGUAAUGCCCAGGAAUCUGCCUGGUCGUGGGGGAUAACGUCCGUAAACGGGCCCUAAUACCGCAUACGUCCUGAGGGAGAAAGUGGGGGAUCUUCGGACCUCACGCUAUUAGCUGAGCCUAGGUCGGAUUAGCUAGUUGGUGGGGUAAAGGCCUACCAAGGCGACGAUCCGUAACUGGGCUGAGAGGAUGAUCAGUCACACUGGAACUGAGACACGGUCCAGACUCCUACGGGAGGCAGCAGUGGGGAAUAUUGGACAAUGGGCGAAAGCCUGAUCCAGCCAUGCCGCGUGUGUGAAGAAGGUCUUCGGAUUGUAAAGCACUUUAAGUUGGGAGGAAGGGCAGUAAGUUAAUACCUUGCUGUUUUGACGUUACCAACAGAAUAAGCACCGGCUAACUUCGUG
rnacentral:rRNA from 1 species